UUGGAGGGCAAGUCUGGUGCCAGCAGCCGCGGUAAUUCCAGCUCCAAUAGCGUAUAUUAAAGUUGUUGCAGUUAAAAAGCUCGUAGUUGAAUUUCGGGAUCAAUAUUUCGGUCAUGCCGUUGGUACGCACUGUUAUCAUUGAUUUCUCACCUUCUAAAGAACCGUAAUGCCAUUAAUUUGGUGUUACGGGGAAUUAGGACUGUUACCUUGAAAAAAUUAGAGUGUUUAAAGCAGGC
rnacentral:rRNA from 1 species